rnacentral:rRNA from 1 species
ACGGGUGAGUAACGCGUGGGAAUCUACCGUACCCUACGGAAUAGCUCUGGGAAACUGGAAGUAAUACCGUAUACGCCCUUCGGGGGAAAGAUUUAUCGGGGUAUGAUGAGCCCGCGUUGGAUUAGCUAGUUGGUGGGGUAAAGGCCUACCAAGGCGACGAUCCAUAGCUGGUCUGAGAGGAUGAUCAGCCACAUUGGGACUGAGACACGGCCCAAACUCCUACGGGAGGCAGCAGUGGGGAAUAUUGGACAAUGGGCGCAAGCCUGAUCCAGCCAUGCCGCGUGAGUGAUGAAGGUCUUAGGAUUGUAAAGCUCUUUCACCGGAGAAGAUAAUGACGGUAUCCGGAGAAGAAGCCCCGGCUAACUUCGUGCCAGCAGCCGCGGUAAUACGAAGGGGGCUAGCGUUGUUCGGAAUUACUGGGCGUAAAGCGCACGUAGGCGGGUAUUUAAGUCAGGGGUGAAAUCCCAGAGCUCAACUCUGGAACUGCCUUUGAUACUGGGUAUCUUGAGUAUGGAAGAGGUAAGUGGAAUUGCGAGUGUAGAGGUGAAAUUCGUAGA